GGGGAUGAUUUGGAUUCGACUGAAAGGUAAGAGUAAUAUAAUCAAGUAUCUCAGUCAUGAGAAUGAAUGGCAAAAAAUUAAUCGACAACGAUUUUGAAGCUGACUAUGAUUCAUACGAUGAGUAUGAUGAACCUGUCUUGAUGGCAGCAUAGUCCGUCCACUGUAAAGAUGGUUAUAUUUGUAGUUUGGGCGUAACUAAUAACCUCGAGAAUAAGAUAGCUCGCUUUAUCGAAAUCUGUAGCAAAAUUUAGCGAAUUCUUAAAUGGUUUUUGUUAGUUUACCGUUUGUUUGAAUUAUAUAAAUAACAAAAAAACUUGUAGAAGUUAUAUUAUGAAACUUUUAGGACGCGGGUUCGAGACCCGCCAUCUCCAUAU
rnacentral:tmRNA from 1 species